rnacentral:rRNA from 1 species
UACGAAGGGUGCAAGCGUUGUUCGGAAUUACUGGGCGUAAAGGGCUCGUAGGCGGCCAACUAAGUCGGACGUGAAAUCCCUCAGCUUAACUGGGGAACUGCGUCCGAUACUGGAUGGCUUGGAUUUGGGAGAGGGAUGCGGAAUUCCAGGUGUAGCGGUGAAAUGCGUAGAUAUCUGGAGGAACACCUGCGGCGAAGGCGGCUACCUGGACAGUGACUGACGCUGAGGCGCGAAAGCUAGGGGAGCGAACGGG